CAGCAGCCGCGGGAAUACGUAGGUGGCAAGCGUUGUCCGGAAUUAUUGGGCGUAAAGGGCUCGCAGGCGGUUUCUUAAGUCUGAUGUGAAAGCCCCCGGCUCAACCGGGGAGGGUCAUUGGAAACUGGGAAACUUGAGUGCAGAAGAGGAGAGUGGAAUUCCACGUGUAGCGGUGAAAUGCGUAGAGAUGUGGAGGAACACCAGUGGCGAAAGCGACUCUCUGGUCUGUAACUGACGCUGAGGAGCGAAAGCGUGGGGAGCAAACAGGAUUAGAUACCCAGUAGUCCCUGUCUCUUAUACA
rnacentral:rRNA from 1 species